rnacentral:rRNA from 1 species
AUUGAACGCUGGCGGCAUGCUUUACACAUGCAAGUCGAACGGUAACAGGCCGCAAGGUGCUGACGAGUGGCGAACGGGUGAGUAAUGCAUCGGAACGUGCCCAGUCGUGGGGGAUAACGCAGCGAAAGCUGUGCUAAUACCGCAUACGAUCUAUGGAUGAAAGCGGGGGACCGUAAGGCCUCGCGCGAUUGGAGCGGCCGAUGUCAGAUUAGGUAGUUGGUGGGGUAAAGGCUCACCAAGCCAACGAUCUGUAGCUGGUCUGAGAGGACGACCAGCCACACUGGGACUGAGACACGGCCCAGACUCCCACGGGAGGCAGCAGUGGGGAAUUUUGGACAAUGGGCGCAAGCCUGAUCCAGCAAUGCCGCGUGCAGGAAGAAGGCCUUCGGGUUGUAAACUGCUUUUGUACGGAACGAAACGGUCUGGGUUAAUACCCUGGGCUAAUGACGGUACCGUAAGAAUAAGCACCGGCUAACUACGUGCCAGCCGCCGCAGUAA